ACCGCGCCUAGCCCUGGCCGGGCGAACCACGGGCACCCUUUCACCCGUCCGGCGCGACUUCCCUCCUGAAAGG
rnacentral:sRNA from 1 species